UACGAAGGGGGCUAGCGUUGCUCGGAUUGACUGGGCGUAAAGGGCGCGUAGGCGGUUCGUACAGUCAGACGUGAAAUUCCUGGGCUCAACCUGGGGGCUGCGUUUGAUACGUGCGGACUUGAGUGCGGAAGAGGGUCGUGGAAUUCCCAGUGUAGAGGUGAAAUUCGUAGAUAUUGGGAAGAACACCGGUGGCGAAGGCGGCGACCUGGUCUGAUACUGACGCUGAGGCGCGAAAGCGUGGGGAGCAAACAGG
rnacentral:rRNA from 1 species